UAGCAGUACAAACCUUUCCAGUUAAGACACAAUUGACAUCCCAGAAAAGACAGACCCAGGAAAAUAUAUAACUGGGAGAAAAUCUCCAGGAGACAAUUAAUGGUCCCUAAAACACAAAGUGAGAAAAACAGGAUAAGGAUUCAACUAUGGGGAAAUGUACAACUGCUCUUUCCUGAGCCUAAGAUCCAUGGAAACCUGAUAUAAAUGAACAUCAAGCCCGGAUGAAAAGCUGGGGAUAGUCACUCCCACAUGUUCCUCUCCAGACUGCAUCUCCCGAGUCCAUUGCAGAUAUGGAAUAAGGCUAAAGGAAGAGCCAAUGAGAUUUCUCUUUAAUGCUGAAGACUUGAGGGCAGCAUUCAAAACCUGAUUGUGCUGGACCUUCGGGAGGCCAUGGGGAGCAGGGUCUAGUGGUGCCUCCUUGGGUUCCUUUUUUCUAUUGGCUGCCCUAGUAACACAUGCCUUGUAACAUGGUUAGAGAAUGCUCCAUGUUAGGUCGGUAUUGCCUACUUUCAAAGAUGGCGUCUCUCCUGUCAAUAAGAAUACGAAUAAGGUAAUGGGAGUGAAGAUGAGUAAAAAUGCAUUCUGUACAUGUAUGGAACUGUGAAAGGGAAAAAAUAUAAUCUGAGUAAAUGUCACAUAUAGCAUGACUGAUCUGUGUACUGAGCCAAAGAUACCUCGUACGUGACCUCUAUUAAGUCUCACACACCCCUGCUAUCAUCCUAUACUACGCAUGAUACUUCAAGGAAUUAUGGGCCUUGGUCAUAACCACACACGAGAUUGAAGAUAUGCACUGUAGUCUGUGACAUCUAUUUUAAGCUUAACUUUUAUUACCUUUAAAACUGUUUAGGAUUUUCUAGUUUGCAUGGCUGAGGUAGCAGGAAAUGUUAUUGGGCAUUUCAAUUUUUUAAAAAAAAUUGUAUUUGUUUUUAAUUUUUAAUUGUGUGUGUGUGUGGCAGGAGGUAUGUGUUUGUGAGCACAGUGCCUGUGGAAUACAGAAGGGGGAGUCAGGUCUCCCUGGAGCUCACAGUUCAGGCAGUUGUGAGCUGCCUGAUAAUAGAACUGAGAUAUGGGAUCGCUCUUAACCUCUAUCUGUCCAGCUAUUGUGUGUCUGUGGUCCUGAUGGAGAUACCCAGGAAAUGCUUGUACAGGUUUCUAUGGAAACUUUGCUCCUAAAUCAGUGUUACAGAAGAGUUAAUACCACAGGACAGAAACUUAUCUCAUUCCAUUGUGUAUUCCCCAAGCCCAGAAAAUCACUGGCACGUACUAAGUUCAUGUAGUGACUAAAGAAGUCAACUAAAAGAGAGAAGUUAGUGAAGUCUGGCUCCUUAGCUGUGUCUAACCCGUAGCCUGCUUGGUAAAAUAAACAUUGAUUGGGGGCUUAGGAGAUGGCUCUGUCUAUAAUGAAUGUACCAUGCUAUCAUGAGGAUCAGAGGUGACAUUUCUCACUGUACCUGGCCAUCACUUAUUGCCUUGACUGGCAUCCUCCUGUCUCCACCCCUCCAAGGCUGUGUUUUCAGGUGUGUGUUGCUAUGCGCAACUGACUAUAAAAUCCAGGUCCUUGCACUUGAGUGGCAGGAACCGCACUCGCAGGUCCUCUUCCCCAGCCCUGAAACUGACCACUCAUAGGAAAGGCUUGCUCUGGGAUGUCUAAGAUUCAAAGCAGGGGCAAAAAAAAAAAAUCACAUGGAGAGAAGGGUUCUGAAGCUGGCCCCUCCCCACUCCCCCUUCUCUCUAAUGAAGAUAAAAUACAGUUCUCACAAUGUCAUUAGAUGUAUAAAAAUGGAACAGAGUUAAGUGCUCAGCAAUCGAGAGGUGAUUAACCGCAUUGUGGAAGGCUGUGCCAACACUAAAAAUGUCUGCCGCAGAAAUAAAAUGUACAAACAAUAGAGAAAGAGUUCAGAUUACCAAAUUUAGCCUAACUCUGCUUUUGUGCCAAUCAUAUAUAUGUAUAUAUAUGCAUGUAUAAUAUAAUAUUUACAUUUAUAAAAUCAUGAGGUGGAGAUGGAAACCUCAGGAUGUGCCAGUACCAAGGCUGGUUUUGACCCUCUACUUUGCAUUUAUGUGGGCUUUCUACUUUUCUGUGAUGUGUAGAACUUUUUUGUAUAAUAGAAAGUUUGAUUUGGAAAGCAUUUUGAAAAUGCAAAGGUUUUUGCGACCUGAGAGAACACAAUGUAGAAAGCUGUCACACAGAGAGCAGUGGCCACUUAAAGGGGAGGGGUUCUUUCUUCCAGAUGUCUCCUCUCCCUCAGGCUCUGUUGGCUCCCACUGCUUAGGAACCUUUAAAGCCAACACACUUACCUCCUUGUGAAAUCUUCAAUGCAUGAAUAGAAACAAGUUCUCUUGUUUUUCUCUGUUCAGCUGAGACAGGCUGACAUUUUCAAAACAACCUUAAUACUCAGAGAGCAAAAAGGUAAUAAUUACAGAAAAUACAGAUGGCAUGAUGGUUGUCAUGUUUAAAACACAAGCUCAUGCUUCUCAAAUGGGCUGACUACCUGCUUGUAGCAUCCAGAGUACAUGCCCUCCCUGCUCCAAGCCUGCUGGCUUCCACUCCAGAGGAAAACACGUCACUUCUGUGAUCAGAAUCUGUCUUAGGCCAAUUAUUCAUCUAAUAAGUCAAGGUUGAAAGACCCCGAUGAAGCUCUGUCAAUCUGAAGCUGCCCACUUGGCUUUCUUCCAAGUGUAGUUCAGACAGGAGACAAACAAGAUGACAGUAGUUGUUGUUUGUUAAUGAGCAUUGCCCCAUAUACCACUGUGUGUGUGUAUGUGAGAGA